rnacentral:rRNA from 1 species
UACGGAGGGAGCUAGCGUUGUUCGGAAUUACUGGGCGUAAAGCGCGCGUAGGCGGCUUUGUAAGUUAGAGGUGAAAGCCCGGGGCUCAACCCCGGAACAGCCUUUAAGACUGCAUCGCUAGAAUCCGGGAGAGGUGAGUGGAAUUCCGAGUGUAGAGGUGAAAUUCGUAGAUAUUCGGAAGAACACCAGUGGCGAAGGCGGCUCACUGGACCGGCAUUGACGCUGAGGUGCGGAAAGCGUGGGGAGCAAACAGGG